rnacentral:rRNA from 1 species
UACGAAGGGGGCUAGCGUUGCUCGGAAUUACUGGGCGUAAAGCGCACGUAGGCGGCUUUCUAAGUCGGGGGUGAAAUCCUGGAGCUCAACUCCAGAACUGCCUUCGAUACUGGAGAGCUUGAGUCCGGGAGAGGUGAGUGGAACUGCGAGUGUAGAGGUGAAAUUCGUAGAUAUUCGCAAGAACACCAGUGGCGAAGGCGGCUCACUGGCCCGGUACUGGACGCUGAGG